AGGCUUUGAUCCUGGCUCAGAACGAACGCUGGCGGCAGGCCUAACACAUGCAAGUCGAGCGCACCCUUCGGGGUGAGCGGCGGACGGGUGAGUAACGCGUGGGAACGUACCUUUCGGUGCGGAAUAUACCAGGGAAACUUGGGGCAAUACCGCAUACGCCCUUCGGGGGAAAGAUUUAUCGCCGAGAGAUCGGCCCGCGUUGGAUUAGGUAGUUGGUGAGGUAACGGCUCACCAAGCCGACGAUCCAUAGCUGGUUUGAGAGGAUGAUCAGCCACACUGGGACUGAGACACGGCCCAGACUCCUACGGGAGGCAGCAGUGGGGAAUCUUAGACAAUGGGGGAAACCCUGAUCUAGCCAUGCCGCGUGAGCGAUGAAGGCCUUAGGGUUGUAAAGCUCUUUCGCCUGGGAAGAUAAUGACGGUACCUGGUAAAGAAGCCCCGGCUAACUCCGUGC
rnacentral:rRNA from 1 species